GCCUGGGUGGCUCAGUCGGUUGAGCAUCUGACUUUGGCUCAUGGAUCGUGGGUUCAAGCCCCACGUCGGGCU